rnacentral:lncRNA from 1 species
UAACUAUGUCAACCUCUUCAAUUUCUAAAACAUUUUAAGUGGUAAGCUCUUGAUGAUUCAGAAAUACAUGCCUCCGCUCACAAAACUUCAAACUGCAUUAUCUCUAAAACGACAAUAGAUAUCUCAAAUCUGUUAAAUGAUAAAUGAUCUACAGUUAAAGGACAACAUUAUAGAAAAAGAAUUGGGACAAUUUCAAAGUUCACUAAGGUCACAAUUAAUCAUCAAAUAUAUGAUGCAAUACAAAACUUGAAAACCAGAAGUCGUAGAGACAUGGGACUAUCACCAUUCAACUCAGGACCACUUGACCUUUCAAAUA